AGCAAUGGAUGGUGGCUGCAAGGAGACCCUUGCAGACGCCCCUGCCUGGAAUUUUUGCUUGUCAGGGUAAUGAGACUGACAAGGGGAAGGCCAUUCUGGGGUCUGAGACUGCAUAGACUGGGCAGCAAGAGCUUCCUCCCCCAAGCGCCAGGUCGGCUGUAAUAGCACAGCCUUCCACGUGGGGGCGGUGCAGGCCAAACAGCAAGAUCACUCCCUUCCUCGAAGUUCCCUGUACCGCAUGCAGGGUGAUUGAUGACCUUCCCCUGGAGGGAGAUCUCACCAUUCUGCCUCUAUCUGAGUCUGCUGGACUUGCCCUUUGUCAGUUUUUCUUUGGGCAGAAUUAGCACCUGUGGGGCCGCAAUGGAUGGUAUUCUCCUGCAGGGGGUUUCUUCCCCCUAAAUUCAACACUGAACCUAAGCCCUGGGGAACCGUUUAGUCUCUCAAGAAGAGAGAAUCUGCACUCCGCAGACCUUUAGGAUCUUUCCUCCUCUUGUAUCAUUUUUUUCAUUUAUCCUUCUCUCUAAGGACCCAGUGGAGAUUUUCAAAGUGUGUGGGUACGGACUAUAAAUGUGGCUUGCUCCUAAUCGUUUGAGCAAGUCAAUAACCAUUAAUUCAUUGACUUGUCCUGUUAUGUUGUCACAUACCCCAGCAUACCUGCAUGUGUUCAGCCCUGCGGGUUCCUAGGUAGAAAUGUGAUCCCUGAAUGUGGCCCCCAAUCUUAAGGUUCUCUGAUGGGGAGGCAGACACCAGGCAGUGAUUUCUGUGGUGGGGGACUCAGGGUAUUGGGGGUGAGCCAUGGUGCCUGAGCUGAGGCUCGCUGGAAUAGUGGCUGACAAGGAUGAUCACUUGGUGAGUGCCUCGUAGGCCCACUGUGCCAAGUACUUUGUGUCACGUCAUUGGAUUUUGCUGAUGUUUAAAUCCCAGGGGGUCAUUAGUAGUAUUUCCAUUUUUGGGCUGAGGAGGGACAGAAGAUCUGGACUGCUGUGUAGAGAAGGGAUUUAGGAGGGGCCAAGUGAAUGCAAACCAGUUAGGGGCCACUGCUGCCACCCUGUAAGAGGGGAAAGAGGCUCAGCCCAAAGAGGUGGCCUUACAUGGAGAAAGUUGGAUUUUUUUUUUUAUCUGUUUUGAAGGAUGAAGUGACAGGGUUUGCAGAUGCAUGUGUUGGAGUAAGAGGAGAGACAUGAGGGAAAGAAUAACUUCUAGAUUCGGAGCUUGAGCCAACUCAGGAUAUCCUGGCAUUUCCCAAGCUGAGGUGGAAGGAGGAACAGUAGGUGCUGCCAGAGGAGGACUGAGCUUGGGCAAGAAGGCACCUUCCAGGAUCACCAAGAAACAAAACCUACCCUGUGACUAUCCAGACCUGCUGCCUGCCCUCAGCUCCCAUGAAUCCUCUGCAAAGUGGAGUCCAACCACCUGGGCACACAUCUUGACUCUGUGACCCUGGGCAAGCCGUUUAACUGCUUCCUGCCUCAGCUUCCUCAUCUGUAAACUGGGUGCAAUGAUAGUACCUACCUCCCAGGCGUUUGGAGCUCAUGUGAGUUGAAUAGGUAAAGAAAAUAGAAUGGUGCCCAGCCCUCAGAAAGCACUUUACAUGUUUUAGCUACAGAUACUAUUACAAGAACCUCAUUAUUAUCCCCAUUUUACAAAAGAGGAAACAAGCCCAGAGAGGUUAACUUCUUGCCCGAAGUCACUCAGCUACUUAGUGGCCAAGUUGGAAUUCAAGCUCAGCUGGUCUGACCCCCACUUCCACCAGUGUGACCUUUAUUGGUUGCACUGGGAGAGUUACAGAAGCUUUGCAUGUCAGCCUCCCCCACUCACCUGACAUGGAAGCACAGAACAGGUGUUGCCAUGCACACAGGCUUCCACUCCAAUGCCCUAGGCCUCGCCAAGGGCCAUGGUGUCAUCAGCGACAUUCAGGAUAGGUCUCCUGGUAUAGAUGGCUGCAUAAAGGCAAGCAGAAAGAUCUAGAAUUCAGUGCUUCCCAAGCUUUAGCAUCAACUAAUGAAAGGAAGUUGUAAAGAUACUUUAUAAAAAAAAAAAUUGAAUUCAGAAGCCAUUCUUUAUUAACCUUUGUCCUAAUUUGAUUAGAGAUGAAACAUGAGUACCAAAAGAAGUUAGAUGAAGUACUGCCUCUCCGAGAGAACCACUGGAAUUUAUCAUUAUUUGUUGGUAGUUUCAGAAGUCUUAUUUUAAAAAUCAGUAUUUUAAUAGCCACAGUAGUGCCAUGCAUUUGGAAAAUGUAGUACAUAUAUGUAUAUGUAAGACAUUAGUUAUGAGAUGCUUUAUGAGAAAAAUGCUCACUGGAAAUGGAGUUCUGCAGACACCUUGAAAUAACUCAGAAGCCCCCAGGAGUGACUAGUCUAGACUUUUUGGAACUGACGCAGAAAUGUAUUUUAAGCUAUGAGUGAGCUCCCUUCUGCUCUCUGGGUAAGGGAAGCCCAGGUGGAGGCUGCCCCAUCCCAGACUCCAGGCCUGCAGCAGGUCAAGAGCCCGUACACCAUGCAGCCUGCCCUCCGGAGGAAGAAGGGCUCAGGUUCUCGCAGAGUUCCGGGAGUGCCGGCAGAGCAGGUGGGGAGUCGCACUCACAGCAGCCAGCCCCACCCAGUGGAGCCACUGAGAGCUGCCUCCUCUACAGUGAGUGAGAUCUUUGGGCCACGAAGAUCAGUCUGGGGCGUGCCUGCUUCCCAUGAGACUCCCCUCCAGCCAGCCAGGGGCAGCGAGCCCCAGGGAGAGUGUUGAGCUCUAAGGGAAUGGGAUUUCAUUGCCUGGCCACAUGGCCUUGGACAGAUCCUGUGCUGUCACAUCUGUGCACUGAAGGAUCAGGUUACUUGAACUGUGAGGUCCCUUCUAGCUCCCGUGUUCUUGGCUGGUUGAAGCUGACACCUGCCUCACUAGCAAUCUGAAGGUGCCCACGUCCGGGGAAUUCUGCUAUAGGAAGGACAGAGGAUGGUAGUGCACAAAAUGCUGCCAGUUCUCACACACUGGGCCCAUGAAAUCCUUCAUUGUUUGGCCUUGACGCUUUACUAACUGAGGGAGAUGCCACCAUGGGCUGGCACUUGCUUUGUCCCUCAGUCGAGAUGCUGAGCUGGCCUGAAGCAUGUUGGGACCACAGUGAAGCAAGGAGCCCAGCUGGCCCAGGGACCAUCUAGGGUCUUGGACCUCUUUUUGGGCUGCUUGGAUCUGGAGUGCCCCCACCCCCCGCCCCACAGAUCAGCCCCAGGCCUUUCCAGUAUCCUCUCUCACCCCACAUAGAGACUUUGUCUACCGUACUGACAAAAAAAAUAUAUUGAAAGGUGUAUGUGACAGCCCCUUUCUCCCUCCAGUACACAGGGCGCUGCCGGGUCUGACUUGGUCAGGGAGUGGCCAGCCCACUGACUGUUCUGCUGCCCCUGCCAGGGGACAGUUGGAAAUAGACUCUCCUGAGCCUGGCCCGUUAGCAGGCAGGGCUGCGUGGUGGGUAAGACUGCUUUAGACUCAGACUGCUCACACUCAAAAUUGCUGGCUUCACCACUUCCUGGGCCCGAUUGGCAGGGUGGAGUUGGGGGAGCUGCUGGGCUUGGCACUGCCUUCCUCCCCACCAGAGCUUAGGACACAGCCGUUGCUUGCCAGUGCAGUUCUGACUCCCCCAGGGCAGUGAAAACAAGGCCUUGCCCCCAAGGGGGCCGUUUCAGCUAAGAAAGUAGUGGUGGCCUGCCAAGCACAGGGUCCUUCUGGCAC